AUUGAACGCUGGCGGCAUGCUUUACACAUGCAAGUCGAACGGUAACAGGCCGCAAGGUGCUGACGAGUGGCGAACGGGUGAGUAAUGCAUCGGAACGUGCCCAGUCGUGGGGGAUAACUACUCGAAAGAGUAGCUAAUACCGCAUACGAUCUAUGGAUGAAAGCGGGGGACCGUAAGGCCUCGCGCGAUUGGAGCGGCCGAUGUCAGAUUAGGUAGUUGGUGGGGUAAAGGCUCACCAAGCCAACGAUCUGUAGCUGGUCUGAGAGGACAACCAGCCACACUGGGACCGAGACACGGCCCAGACUCCUACGGGAGGCAGCAGUGGGGAAUUUUGGACAAUGGGCGCAAGCCUGAUCCAGCAAUGCCGCGUGCAGGAAGAAGGCCUUCGGGUUGUAAACUGCUUUUGUACGGAACGAAACGGCUCUGGUUAAUACCCGGGGCUAAUGACGGUACCGUAAGAAUAAGCACCGGCUAACUACGUG
rnacentral:rRNA from 1 species